GAUGAACGCUGGCGGCGUGCCUAAUACAUGCAAGUCGAGCGAACAGACGAGGAGCUUGCUCCUCUGACGUUAGCGGCGGAAGGGUGAGUAACACGUGGAUAACCUACCUAUAAGACUGGGAUAACUUCAGGAAACCGGAGCUAAUACCGGAUAAUAUAUUGAACCGCAUGGUUCAAUAGUGAAAGACGGUUUUGCUGUCACUUAUAGAUGGAUCCGCGCCGCAUUAGCUAGUUGGUAAGGUAACGGCUUACCAAGGCAACGAUGCGUAGCCGACCUGAGAGGGUGAUCGGCCACACUGGAACUGAGACACGGUCCAGACUCCUACGGGAGGCAGCAGUAGGGAAUCUUCCGCAAUGGGCGAAAGCCUGACGGAGCAACGCCGCGUGAGUGAUGAAGGUCUUCGGAUCGUAAAACUCUGUUAUUAGGGAAGAACAAAUGUGUAAGUAACUAUGCACGUCUUGACGGUACCUAAUCAGAAAGCCACGGCUAACUACGUG
rnacentral:rRNA from 1 species